rnacentral:rRNA from 1 species
UAGGGAAUCUUGCGCAAUGGGCGAAAGCCUGACGCAGCCAUGCCGCGUGUAUGAUGAAGGUCUUAGGAUUGUAAAAUACCUUCACCGGGGAAGAUAAUGACGGUACCCGGAGAAGAAGCCCCGGCUAACUUCGUG